AGUUCUGAGGUGUACAACAGGACAUCUUCCUCCAGUUCAGCUUCAACACAAACCAUGUUCUCUGUAGCUGUACUGCUGCUGCUCCUGGCUGCUUGCUCUGGUGUGAACUGUGAACAGCUUACUCAGCCAGAGUCUCUGACUGUCCGACCUGGUCAACCUCUGACCAUCCGCUGUCAGGUCUCUUAUUCUGUUAGUAGCUACAUCACACAUUUGAUCAGACAACCUGAUGGAAGAGGAUUGGAAUGGAUUGGAGGGAUUAGGACUAAUUGGAAAGGAGCGAAAGACUCCCUAAGUAGUCAAUUCAGUCUUGCCGUUGACGGCUCCGGUAACACAGUAACUUUGCAAGGGCAAAACAUCCAGCCUGGAGACUCAGCUGUGUAUUACUGUGCCAGAGA